rnacentral:rRNA from 1 species
AUUGAACGCUGGCGGCAGGCUUAACACAUGCAAGUCGAACGAGCGGCGGACGGGUGAGUAAUGUCUGGGAAACUGCCUGAUGGAGGGGGAUAACUACUGGAAACGGUAGCUAAUACCGCAUACCAUCAAAUGUGCCCAGAUGGGAUUAGCUUGUGGGUGGGGUAACGGAUCACCAAGGCGAAGAUCCCUAGCGGGUUUGAGAGGAUGACCAGCCAACUUGGAACUGAGACACGGUCCAGACGCCUACGGUAGGCAGCAGUGGGGAAUAUUGCACAAUGGGCGCAAGCCUGAUGCAGCCAUGCCGCGUGUGUGAAGAAGGCCUUCGGGUUGUAAAGCACUUUCAGCGAGGAGGCGUUACUCGCAGAAGAAGCACCGGCUAACUCCGUGCCAGCCGCCGCGGUAAUUC